rnacentral:tRNA from 1 species
GGGGCGGUAGCUCAGCUGGGAGAGCACACGGCUGAAGACCGUGGUGUCGGGGGUUCGAGUCCCUCCCGCCCCA